CUGCACGGGACUACGCCUCACCACGCCAAUCUGUCAGAUAUGGUGACCAAGGACUACGGACCAAGAGCAUCACGAUGGCAUAAACCAUCGUAAGACAAAGUGCUGCUGAAUUUAGCCUGAGAUCAACGGUCACCCCUGCCCGGAUCAGGUCCCCGCUCAUCUCCGAGUAGCAGGGGCAAUCGCUCUUGAGCACACACACGC